AAGUCGUAACAAGGUUUCCGUAGGUGAACCUGCGGAAGGAUCAUUAUACGUUUAUCCAACGUACCAACCAACGCGCUCUCGUUUAACCUGAGUCUGUGCACGAGCUUUCUUAGGCCAUCCAAAAUAUGGUGGGAACCGCAAGGUUCUGUUUGGGUGGUCGAUCACGAACUCGUGCACUGCAACCAUUUUUUUAAAUUAAAACGCAUUGUAAUCACUUGUACUAAUUACGAAAAACAUCUUUGUUUUUUUAUUACAUAUUUUUUUAACUAAAAAACAGUAACAAAAAAGAGAGAGGUGGAAUUAAGACAUUAAUUGCUGAACAACUCUUAGCAACGGAUAUCUUGGUUCUC
rnacentral:misc_RNA from 1 species